UACCAGCACCCCGAGUGGUCGUGGCGUUUAUUGGGCCUAAAGCAUCCGUAGCCGGUUCUACAAGUCUUCCGUUAAAUCCAACUGCUUAACAGGUGGGCUGCGGAAGAUACUAUAGAGCUAGGAGGCGGGAGAGGCAAGCGGUACUCGAGGGGUAGGGGUAAAAUCCGUUGAUCCAUUGAAGACCACCAGUGGCGAAGGCGGCUUGCCAGAACGCGCUCGACGGUGAGGGAUGAAAGCUGGGGGAGCAAACCGG
rnacentral:rRNA from 1 species